GCCGCGGUAAUNNGGNGGGUGCANGCGUUANUNGGANUUANUGGGCGUAAAGCGCACGCNGGCGGUNGANUGAGUCAGAUGUGAAANCCCCGGGCUUANCCCGGGAAUNGCANNUGAUACUGNUCAGCNAGANUNNNUAGAGGGGGGUAGANUUCCAUGUGNAGCGNUGAAANGNGUAGAGAUGUGGAGGAAUACNGGUGGCGANGGCGGCCCCCNGGACAAAGACUGACGNUCAGGUGCGAAAGCGUGGGGAGCAAACAGGAUNAGAUACCNUGGUANUNCACGCNGUNAACGAUGUCGACUNGGAGGUUGUGCCCNUGAGGCGUGGCUUCNGGAGCUAACGCGUUAAGUCGACCGCCUGGGGAGUACGGCCGCAAGGUUAAAACUCAAAUGAAUUGACGGGGGCCCGCACAAGCGGUGGAGCAUGUGGUUUAAUUCGAUGCAACGCGAAGAACCUUACCUACUCUUGACAUCCAGAGAACUUNNCAGAGAUGNNUUGGUGCCUUCGGGAACUCUGAGACAGGUGCUGCAUGGCUGUCGUCAGCUCGUGUUGUGAAAUGUUGGGUUAAGUCCCGCAACGAGCGCAACCCUUAUCCUUUGUUGCCAGCGCGURAUGGCGGGAACUCAAAGGAGACUGCCGGUGAUAAACCGGAGGAAGGUGGGGAUGACGUCAAGUCAUCAUGGCCCUUACGAGUAGGGCUACACACGUGCUACAAUGGCGUAUACAAAGGGAAGCGACCCCGCGAGGGCAAGCGGAACUCAUAAAGUACGUCGUAGUCCGGAUUGGAGUCUGCAACUCGACUCCAUGAAGUCGGAAUCGCUAGUAAUCGUAGAUCAGAAUGCUACGGUGAAUACGUUCCCGGGCCUUGUACACACCGCCCGUCACACCAUGGGAGUGGGUUGCAAAAGAAGUAGGUAGCUUAACNUCCGGGAGGGCGCU
rnacentral:rRNA from 1 species